rnacentral:rRNA from 1 species
AACGAACGCUGGCGGCAGGCCUAAAACAUGCAAGUCGAACGCCCCGCAAGGGGAGUGGCGCACGGGUGAGUAACGCGUGGGAACGUGCCCUUCACUACGGGACAACGUCGGGAAACUGACGCUAAUACCGUAUAAUGACUCCGGUCCAAAGAUUUAUCGGUGAAGGAGCGGCCCGCGCCUGAUUAGCUAGUUGGUGAGGUAAAGGCUUACCAAGGCUACGAUCAGUAGCAGGUCUGAGAGGAUGAUCUGCCACACUGGGACUGAGACACGGCCCGGACCCCUACGGGAGGCAGCAGUUAGGAAGAUUGGACAAGGGGGGAAAGCCUGAUCCGGCCUUGCCGGGUGUGGGAUGAGGGCCCUAGGGUUGAAAAGCACUUUCGUUGGGGAUGAUAAUGACCGUACCCAAAGAAGAAGCACCGGCUAACUUCGUGCCAGCCGCCGCGGUAA